rnacentral:rRNA from 1 species
CAGAGGGAAAAGGAGCAAUCCGCUUUGAGAUGGCCUCGCGUCCGAUUAGCUAGUUGGUGAGGUAAUGGCCCACCAAGGCGACGAUCGGUAGCCGGACUGAGAGGUUGAACGGCCACAUUGGGACUGAGACACGGCCCAGACUCCUACGGGAGGCAGCAGUGGGGAAUAUUGCACAAUGGGGGAAACCCUGAUGCAGCGACGCCGCGUGGAGGAAGAAGGUCUUCGGAUUGUAAACUCCUGUUGUUGGGGAAGAUAAUGACGGUACCCAACAAGGAAGUGACGGCUAACUACGUGCCAGCAGCCGCGGUAAAACGUAGGUCACAAGCGUUGUCCGGAAUUACUGGGUGUAAAGGGAGCGCAGGCGGGAAGACAAGUUGGAAGUGAAAUCUAUGGGCUCAACCCAUAAACUGCUUUCAAAACUGUUUUUCUUGAGUAGUGCAGAGGUAGGCGGAAUUCCCGGUGUAGCGGUGGAAUGCGUAGAUAUCGGGAGGAACACCAGUGGCGAAGGCGGCCUACUGGGCACCAACUGACGCUGAGGCUCGAAAGUGUGGGUAGCAAACAGGAUUAGAUACCCUGGUAGUCCACACCGUAAACGAUGAUUACUAGGUGUUGGAGGAUUGACCCCUUCAGUGCCGCAGUUAACACAAUAAGUAAUCCACCUGGGGAGUACGACCGCAAGGUUGAAACUCAAAGGAAUUGACGGGGGCCCGCACAAGCAGUGGAGUAUGUGGUUUAAUUCGACGCAACGCGAAGAACCUUACCAAGUCUUGACAUCCCUUGACAGGCAUAGAAAUAUGUUUUCUCUUCGGAGCAAGGAGACAGGUGGUGCAUGGUUGUCGUCAGCUCGUGUCGUGAGAUGUUGGGUUAAGUCCCGCAACGAGCGCAACCCUUAUGGUCAGUUACUACGCAAGAGGACUCUGGCCAGACUGCCGUUGACAAAACGGAGGAAGGUGGGGAUGACGUCAAAUCAUCAUGCCCUUUAUGACUUGGGCUACACACGUACUACAAUGGCGUUAAACAAAGAGAAGCAAGACCGCGAGGUGGAGCAAAACUCAGAAACAACGUCCCAGUUCGGACUGCAGGCUGCAACUCGCCUGCACGAAGUCGGAAUUGCUAGUAAUCGUGGAUCAGCAUGCCACGGUGAAUACGUUCCCGGGCCUUGUACACACCGCCCGUCACACCAUGAGAGCCGGGGGGACCCGAAGUCGGUAGUCUAACCGCAAGGAGGACGCCGCCGAAGGUAAAACUGGUGAUUGGGGUGAAGUCGUAACAAGGUAGCCGUAGGAGAACCUGCGGCUGGAUCACCUCCUUU